rnacentral:rRNA from 1 species
GGACGAACGCUGGCGGCGCGCCUAACACAUGCAAGUCGAACGAGCGAGAGAGAGCUUGCUUUCUCGAGCGAGUGGCGAACGGGUGAGUAACGCGUGAGGAACCUGCCUCAAAGAGGGGGACAACAGUUGGAAACGACUGCUAAUACCGCAUAAGCCCACGGCUCGGCAUCGAGCAGAGGGAAAAGGAGUAAUCCGCUUUGAGAUGGCCUCGCGUCCGAUUAGCUAGUUGGUGAGGUAACGGCCCACCAAGGCGACGAUCGGUAGCCGGACUGAGAGGUUGAACGGCCACAUUGGGACUGAGACACGGCCCAGACUCCUACGGGAGGCAGCAGUGGGGAAUAUUGCACAAUGGGGGAAACCCUGAUGCAGCGACGCCGCGUGGAGGAAGAAGGUCUUCGGAUUGUAAACUCCUGUUGUUGGGGAAGAUAAUGACGGUACUCAACAAGGAAGUGACGGCUAACUACGUG